UAACGGUCCUAAGGUAGCAAAUUUCCUUGUCGUCUUAAUAACGACCUGCAUGAAACAUAGAACGAUUUGAUAGCUGUCUUGCACACACAUCAUGGUAAAAUAUUCAUCAGUACAAAUAAUAUGCUGCUGACACUAAAGGACAAAAAGACCCUUUGAAGCUUUAUAGGGAUAAAACUCAGCUUUAAAUCAACAAACAAUGAACUCCAUCUUGUUGCUUCUCCGCUUUUUAAAUUGCUAAAGCCUUACAAGAUUUACAACAUCAAGACCACUAUUUAAUUGGGGCGAUAACCUUAUCCACAGCCACCUAAGGUGAACAAAGCGAUACAAGGAUCCUAAAUACUAAUUUGACCAACUAAUAAGUGCAAAGAUACAUGUUUUGCUUAAUGGCCCAACAAGUCCUUCCCAGUACUUAAAUGCUAUCUUAAUGAGCUUUAAAUUA
rnacentral:rRNA from 1 species